ensembl:lncRNA
AUGCAGUAAUGUGUGGGUCAGAGGAUAAGCAGUAAUGUAGUAAUGAGGUAAUGAAGCUAUGGAGUAAUGUGUGGGUCAGAUGAUAAGCAGUAAUGUAGUAACGAGGUAAUGAAGCUAUGCAGUAAUGUGUGGGUCAGAUGAUAAGCAGUAAUGUAGUAACGAUGUAAUGAAGCUAUGCAGUAAUGUGAGUCAGAGGAUAAGCAGUGAUUUAGUAAUGAGGUAAUGAAGCUAUGCAGUGAUGUAGUAAUGAGGUAAUGCAGUAAUGUAGUAACGAGGUAAUGAAGCUAUGCAGUAAUGUGUGAGUCAGAGGAUAAGCAGUGAUUUAGUAAUGAGGUAAUGAAGCUAUGCAGUGAUGUAGUAAUGCAGUAAUGUAGUAAUGAAGCUAUGCAGUAAUGUGUGGGUCAGAGGAUAAGCAGUAAUGUAGUAAUGAGGUAAUGAAGCUAUGCAGUAAUGUAGUAACGAGGUAAUGAAGCUAUGCAGUAAUGUGUGGGUCAGAGGAUAAGCAGUGAU